UACGGGGGGGGUAAGCGUUGUUCGGAAUUAUUGGGCGUAAAGGGCUCGUAGGCGGUUUGUCGCGUCGGGAGUGAAAACUCAGGGCUCAACCCUGAGCGUGCUUCCGAUACGGGCAGACUAGAGGUAUGCAGGGGAGAACGGAAUUCCUGGUGUAGCGGUGGAAUGCGCAGAUAUCAGGAGGAACACCGGUGGCGAAGGCGGUUCUCUGGGCAUUACCUGACGCUGAGGAGCGAAAGCAUGGGGAGCGAACAGG
rnacentral:rRNA from 1 species